rnacentral:rRNA from 1 species
UACGGGGGGGGCAAGCGUUGUUCGGAAUUACUGGGCGUAAAGGGCUCGUAGGUGGCCAACUAAGUCGGACGUGAAAUCCCUCAGCUUAACUGGGGAACUGCGUCCGAUACUGGAUGGCUCGAGUUUGGGAGAGGGAUGCGGAAUUCCAGGUGUAGCGGUGAAAUGCGUAGAUAUCUGGAGGAACACCGGUGGCGAAGGCGGCAUCCUGGACCAACGCUGACACUGAGGAGCGAAAGCCAGGGGAGCAAACGGG